UGAUUGCAUUGCAGGAGAAAUAAACCAACUACAAGAUAGCUAGCUAAUCACAUUCUCCAUAUUGAGGCAAAGAGCAUAGUUAUAACUUCGUUGACAAAAUUGUAAAUACUGUCUCACAAGGCAAAAAAAAUCCAGAUAAUGAAGAGCUACAAAACUAAAGUUCAACAAAGGACACUUUCUAUCAAGCUGACCAAUUCAAGCUUCUCAGUCUUCCUCCUCAGCCUCAUUGUCAGCAAUGUUGAAGUACCUCAACUCAUAAACAUUACGGUCCUUGUUUGAGGAAAUUACUCGGAGCCAAUCACGGACACUGUUCUUCUUUAAAUACUUCUUAGUCAAGUAUUUCAAAUACCUCUUGGAGAAGGUGCUAUCGGAGGUGACGGUGAUUUUGGUUUUGUCACGUGUUACAGUCACGGAGUCACCAAGAGCUCCAGCCUUUCCUCCAACCUUGAUGCGCUCCUGAAGAAACUUCUCCAAAGAGGCGAUUUCCAUGAUGUUGUCCUCAACAGGCUUUGCGCAAUCGAUCACGAAGGUGGCUCCCUUCUUCUUCCCACCCUUGGUGGCUCCGCUGCUUCCUUUACUCAUCUUCUCCGACGAUUGACAGGAAAAACCCUACCUGAAAAGCUG
rnacentral:misc_RNA from 1 species